AUUGAACGCUGGCGGGAUGCUUUACACAUGCAAGUCGAGCGGCAGCACGGGGGCAACCCUGGUGGCGAGCGGCGAACGGGUGAGUAAUACAUCGGAACAUGCCCAGUCGUGGGGGAUAACACUUCGAAAGAAGUGCUAAUACCGCAUACGUCCUGAGGGAGAAAGCGGGGGAUCGCAAGACCUCGCGCGAUUGGAGUGGCCGAUGUCAGAUUAGCUAGUUGGUGGGGUAAAGGCCUACCAAGGCAACGAUCUGUAGCUGGUCUGAGAGGAUGAUCAGCCACACUGGGACUGAGACACGGCCCAGACUCCUACGGGAGGCAGCAGUGGGGAAUUUUGGACAAUGGGGGCAACCCUGAUCCAGCCAUUCCGCGUGAGUGAAGAAGGCCUUCGGGUUGUAAAGCUCUUUCGGCAGGAACGAAACGGCGAGCUCUAACAUAGCUUGCUAAUGACGGUACCUGAAGAAGAAGCACCGGCUAACUACGUG
rnacentral:rRNA from 1 species